rnacentral:rRNA from 1 species
AUUGAACGCUGGCGGCAUGCCUUACACAUGCAAGUCGAACGGUAACGGGCCUUCGGGUGCCGACGAGUGGCGAACGGGUGAGUAAUACAUCGGAACGUGCCCGAUCGUGGGGGAUAACGAGGCGAAAGCUUUGCUAAUACCGCAUACGAUCUACGGAUGAAAGCAGGGGACCGCAAGGCCUUGCGCGGGCGGAGCGGCCGAUGGCGGAUUAGGUAGUUGGUGGGAUAAAAGCGCACCAAGCCGACGAUCUGUAGCUGGUCUGAGAGGAUGAUCAGCCACAAUGGGACUGAGACACGGCCCAGACUCCUACGGGAGGCAGCAGUGGGGAAUUUUGGACAAUGGGCGCAAGCCUGAUCCAGCCAUGCCGCGUGCAGGAUGAAGGCCUUCGGGUUGUAAACUGCUUUUGUACGGAACGAAAAGCCUUCUUUUAAUACAGGAGGGUCAUGACGGUACCGUAAGAAUAAGCACCGGCUAACUACGUG